rnacentral:rRNA from 1 species
AGUGAACGCUGGCGGUAGACCUAACACAUGCAAGUCGAACGGCAGCACAGUAAGAGCUUGCUCUUACGGGUGGCGAGUGGCGGACGGGUGAGGAAUACAUCGGAAUCUACUUUUUCGUGGGGGAUAACGUAGGGAAACUUACGCUAAUGCCGCAUACGACCUACGGGUGAAAGCAGGGGAUCUUCGGACCUUGCGCGAUUGAAUGAGCCGAUGUCGGAUUAGCUAGUUGGCGGGGUAAAGGCCCACCAAGGCGACGAUCCGUAGCUGGUCUGAGAGGAUGAUCAGCCACACUGGAACUGAGACACGGUCCAGACUCCUACGGGAAGCAGCAGUGGGGAAUAUUGGACAAUGGGCGCAAGCCUGAUCCAGCCAUACCGCGUGGGUGAAGAAGGCCUUCGGGUUGUAAAGCCCUUUUGUUGGGAAAGAAAAGCAGCAGGUUAAUACCCCGCUGUUCUGACGGUACCCAAAGAAUAAGCACCGGCUAACUUCGUG